AAAUGAAUUGACGGGGACCCGCACAAGCAGUGGAGUAUGUGGUUUAAUUCGACGCAACGCGAAGAACCUUACCAAGGCUUGACAUAAUACUGAAUAUGGUGGAAACAUCAUAGACCUUCGGGACAGUAUUACAGGUGGUGCAUGGUUGUCGUCAGCUCGUGUCGUGAGAUGUUGGGUUAAGUCCCGCAACGAGCGCAACCCUUGUUGUUAGUUGCCAUCAGGUAAAGCUGGGCACUCUAAUGAGACUGCCGGUGAUAAAUCGGAGGAAGGUGGGGACGACGUCAAAUCAUCAUGCCCCUUAUGUCUUGGGCUACACACGUACUACAAUGGCUAUUACAGCAGGCAGCAAAGGAGCAAUCCGGAGCAAAUCCCAAAAGAUAGUCCCAGUUCGGAUUGUGGGCUGCAACUCGCCCACAUGAAGUAGGAAUUGCUAGUAAUUGCAGGUCAGCAUACUGCAGUGAAUACGUUCCCGGGUCUUGUACACACCGCCCGU
rnacentral:rRNA from 1 species